rnacentral:lncRNA from 1 species
AAUUAUUUAUUACAAGGGCAUACAGUUUAGAGGAUGUCAAUAUUUUUUCCCUCCUAGCACAAUGACCCUUAAUUCAAACCUGUUCAAAAGUAUCAGUAAGACAGAGUGUGAUAGUUACACUGUAACUUACCUUUGCUUCUGACCCAGUGGGAUUGUUAACAUCUCUAGCUUCUCUGACUUAGAUGGUCACACUCAAAAGUCCUGUAGUGAAGACUGCCUAAAGAGGCAGGAAGCAAAUUGUGUUUCAGUUCAGGCUUCUGUGGUUGACAGUCACAUUGAUUACACAUUAUAGAUAGCAUCUAUAUGUCUCUAGAAUUCGUGUUCUCUCCGAAUUUAUCAUAGUUACAUAAUGGUGCUGUUAACUGAGGGGGUGUCGCUUGGGUCUGGCUUCUUUGUCUGAAGGAGGUCAUACAAUUGAAGAAUUGUGGGCUCUUACACAAUUAGAGUUUUUAGUCAAGGCUUUGGAAUAUGGUUCAGUGCUUGCCUAGCAUGUCCAAUCCCCAUUGAAACACACACACAUGAGAACAUAUAUAUUCUUAAGAAACAAGUCUCUGUACACUCUAGGCUGACCUCUUCUUACUCUAGCCUCUUUUUUUUUUCUUUUUCUUUUGAGAUAGGGUCUCCUAUUGCCUAGUUAGCCUUCAUUUCAUGAUCCUUUUAUUCUGAAUGCCCCAGGCACCUGACUUCAGACUUGUCUUUCUACUAAAAAUUGUUGUGCCUGCUUUCCACAAGACUACAUAUCCCAUCGUACAUUGAGCGAUUUAAGAGUUGCGUGGAUUUCUGCUGUGGUGUCUGCUUUUAGUUGGCUGAGAAGAUAAAGUCAUCUUCCACAUUGCCAGUAGGAAAGAUUGGUUUUCUGAGGAGGCAGUUUAAAGUGAAGGAAGUCUCCUGUUAGUAAUUUCAUUAUUUCUACAUACUCAUCUAUUUUAACAGUUGUAAAAAUUUUUUUAAAUUUGUUAGUUUGCUUGUUUUUCUGAGACAAAGUCUUAAGUAGCUCAGGUUGGGCUCGAAUUCCUUACCCUUGAGUCUCCCCAAAUGCUGAGCGUAUAGCCACCACACCAAGCUCUGGAGAUUGAUUAAUUGAUUGACUGAUUUACUCUUUUCCCUUGCAUAUAACAGCAGUACCAUCCCCUGUUAGCAAAUAGAAAUUUUUUUUUAAGGAUGUGCAACCACUACCCAGUUUUUUUUUUAAGGUUUAUUUAUAUCUAAGUACACUGUAGCUGUCUUCAGACACACCAGAAGAGAGUGCCAGAUCUCAUUACGGAUGGUUGUGAGCCACCAUGUGGUUGCUGGAUUUGAACUCAGGACCUUCAGUAGAGCAGUCAGUGCUCUUAACCACUGAGCCAUCUCUCCAGCGCGCAAAUAGAAAUUUUUGAGAUAGGGUUUUAUUGUAUAGCUCUGGCUGACCUGGACCUGAUCCACCCGCCUCUGCGUACUGAGAUUAGAGGUGUGUACCACCACAUCAAUCGAGAAAUGUAAUAGUAAAAUGGGGACUGGAAAGCUGGCUCAGCAGUUAAGAGCACUGGCUUUUGCAAAGGAAACUGAAGAGUGUGGCCUUUUGGCCUUCCUGGGCACUCGCAUUCAUGUGCACACACCCAUAACUUGAAAUAAGUGCUCUAAGUGGUAGGGGUCAAAAUGGAGUCUGGAACUUAGUACAGUAGACAAAGAGCUUGGGUACCUCAACCUGGGCUCUAGGUUCCAUCUUCAUGUAGAUCUACCUCUUUAACUUUGUAAGUGAAAGUGAAAGAUUUCUUUGCAGGCCACUGUUAAGGUUAUGAGGUUUUGUUUUAUUUGAAACAAGAUUUUAUGUACUGGAGGCUGGCCAUGGGCUGUCAUCCUGUCUUCACCACCUAAAUACUUGGAUUACAGGUGUGAAUUACACUGUUUGCUAACCUGUGUAUUUGUAGAGAUAUGAGUAUCUUAAUUUCUCUGUGAGAAAUAGCGGUGUUUAAAUGUUUUAAGUCUUAAACAUCUACUUGUGUUGUAGAUUUUUAUGAUACUCUUUUCCCCUGUAGUACUAAGGAUCAAGCAUAUGACUUUAACUUGUGCUUGGCGCUGAGUACUAUGCUACCCUCUACAACAGUAACAAUAAAUAACACUUGUUAUGCAGUUCAUGGUGCUAGUGAUUCUUGCCUUCCCAGGGCUUUAGAAUUACAGCUGGGUGACCAUUACUGCCUAGGAUUUACAUUGGAUGCUGGAGAUUGAAACUCUGGUCCUUAGUGUCUGCAGUACAAGCACUUUACCCAGUGAGCUAUGUCUCCAACCUCUAAAAUUAAUGUUUAAUGCUUUUUUUUUUUUUUUCGAGACAGGGUUUCUCUGUGUAGCCUUGGCUGUCUGGACUCACUUUGUAGACCAAGCUGGCCUCGAACUCAGAAAUCCACCUGCCCCUGCCUCCCGAAUACUGAGAUUAAAGGCGUGCGCCACCACGCCCGGCGCUAAUUUUUUUUUUUUUAACUUAUCUGUUUUGAGACAUGGUUUCACUAUGUAGCUCUGGCUGUACUGGAACUCACUAUGUAGACCAGGCAGGUAUUAAACUCACAGGGAUUCAUCUGCCCCUGUCUCCUGAGUGCUGCAAUUAGUGUUCUCCAUCACAUGUAGCCUAGUGUUUGUUAUUGGUUGGUUGGCUGGCUGGUUUUAGUCUAUUCUUCUCUGUAUCUUAACUUGGAUCUCCUUUCUUAUUCCCAGUCAUCUCUUCAGCAUUUGAGAUUUCAUUCCAACUUUGUCCUAUAUCUCCAUCUUGAAUUCAUUCUCUUUUUCCUCGCCCUUCCCUUUUCCUCUCUCUCCCUCUCUUUUAUCCCUCCCCCCAGGUAAAGGGGUGGUUUAUAAGCCUGGUUUGGCCUUAAGCUUAUGAGACUGUCUCAAAAUGGGCUGGUGAAAUGGCUGGUAUUAUGGGUAUGUGCCUUUGGGGAUUCUCAUCAUCAGCCAUACAUAAUUUGUUUUAAUGCUCUUUUUUCUUUUUGGAGGCUAGAUAUCACUGUGUAGACCAGGCUGGCUUCAAACUCAGAGAUCCACCUGCCAUCACACCUGGUUUUCCCUGACUAUUUUUAUGUGUAUUUAUAAAGUGGUCAAUUUUUUUCUCUUAUUUUUCAGGAGAGGUGAGGUAAAGAUGUUAACUUCCGCUUUACUGCUACAAUAGAGAAAAAACGGCAACAGCCAGGCUUAGUGUUAUGCCUCUUAGCUCAGGGUUUCAGAAGCUGAGGAAAGAAGACUGAAAGUUUGAAAAAGAUCCUGCCCCAAGAAAAGAUGAAAUCAAAUUCUUUUGAUACUUAAGCAUUAUCUGCUAUGUGAAUCUAGAUGACUGUUACCUCUCUGUUUCCUUUCAAGUGCUAUAUGUUGUUAACUGUAAUCAUAACACGUGUUUCUUGCUUUCAUGAUUGUCUGAAAACAGACUUGUUAUGUAUUAGCUCUGCUAUUCACCUUACUUGAAUAAGCUUUCCUCUCUGAAGCCUUACUUAAAGACGCAAACCAGAUAACAUAGCCUUAAAUGUAUGCUUUUUUAACCCUUGGAAACUGGGUUUAAAACACUUAAGAGGGAGAGGAAGAAAAAUUGCUAUAAGUUCUACGACAGCCAGGGCUACCUAGUGAGAGUAUGUCUUGAGCAAGUGAGCUGAACACAUGAAUCAUCGUCAAGUGCCUUCUCUCUCCUUUCAAUAUAACUCAGCCUAACCAGCUGGAGGGCUACAUAGAAUGAAGUGUACAAGGUGCUGAUUUAAUAAUAGAUACACUAAGCCAAGGGAGAAGGAGUAUCAUGGCCUGUUGGGCUAUAUAGUUUCAAGAUAGCCUGGAGCUACUGAGUGGGACCCAGUGUUUAAAGGAAAACAAAACAAAACAAAAUCUUACCUGAGUUAGAAAACAGGUGGUAGAAAGCUUAGUUUACAGUUAGGUGGUUCACUUGACCAUGAGAACUGAUCAAAGCAUAGGCGGUGUACUUUCCCCAGAGGGCUCAGAGAAACACCUGCUCUUCUAUCCAGAAUGGCCUAACAGUCCCAUGGGUGUACUUCCCGUGCGUUUGGGUGUAUGACAUGUUCUUGUCAGUAUACAGCUAGCACCAGCUGUAUAUUAUCUCCUUAAAGGCCCAGUGGCUUGCAGAGGGAUCUCUUUGAGAAGGUUGAUGAGUUCUGCCUUCCCCAUAGGCAGCGAAACUAGAAAACAGAAGGAAAAAAGACAGGCGAGGUGGUGCAGUUCCCCAAAAUUUGGGAGAUGGUGGGUGGAUCUUUGGCUUCAAAGUAUUACUCUGAAAAGUAAUCUAGAUAAAGAGUUUUAAGAGACUGUCUCAAAAAGCAGGCUGGUGAGAUGGCUCAGUGAUUAAAAGUGAAUGCUGCUUUUGCGAGGACCCCAAUUCCAUUCCCAGCAUGUGUAUUUGGUGCUUCACAAUUGCCUGUAACUCUAGUUCCAAAGGAGUUACACAAAAUUUUAAAAGG